GCCUUCGUGGUGUAAUGGCCAGCACACUCGGCACGUAUUCCAGAGGUCCGCGGUUCGAGUCCCGACGAAGGCA
rfam:Stegodyphus mimosarum contig78819, whole genome shotgun sequence.